rnacentral:rRNA from 1 species
AGCAGCCGCGGUAAUUCCAGCUCCAAUAGCGUAUAUUAAAGUUGUUGCAGUUAAAAAGCUCGUAGUUGAAUUUCGGGGUCAGUAGGUUGGUCGUGCCACUGGUAUGCACUGGUCUCACUGAUUCCUCCUUCCUGAUGAACCGUAAUGCCAUUAAUUUGGUGUUGCGGGGAAUCUGGACUGUUACUUUGAAAAAAUUAGAGUGUUUAAAGCAGGCUAACGCUUGAAUACAUUAGCAUGGAAUAAUGAAAUAGGACGAUCGAUCCUAUUUUGUUGGUUUCUAGGAUUGACGUAAUGAUUAAUAGGGAUAGUUGGGGGCAUUAGUAUUCAAUUGUCAGAGGUGAAAUUCUUGGAUUUAUUGAAGACUAACUACUGCGAAAGCAUUUGCCAAGGAUGUUUUCAUUAAUCAAGAACGAAAGUUAGGGGAUCGAAGACGAUCAGAUACCGUCGUAGUCUUAACCAUAAACCUAUGCCG